UCAGGUAAAAAAAAUCCUUUACACUUGAAGUCAUUCUGAAAAUACAGUGACUCAGGCAGACCUGGAGACAACAAUGACACCAGAGUAAGGAGGAUCACUAUGUGGAUGAAGACCAGGUGAUAAAUGGUCAGGUCUGUGGGCUCAGGCCUGCAUUACAGAAGAAGUGUGAAGACGAGGAAGAAAAUGAGGAAGCUGAGGGUCAAGAUUCCAAUGCCAGCUUGAAAAAAAGAGGCAUUUUUCAAUGAAAACAUAAGUGGAAUGUAAUAAUGUAAAUUGCAAAAGAGAAACAUAUUUUGAAUAUCUGAAAAUAAUAGACUUUACACCCGGCGUGAGCCACCGUGCCUGGCCGUGUAUACAUACUUUU
rnacentral:lncRNA from 1 species